AAUCAACACUCCACUCAGACAAUGCCCAGACCUCCAGAAACCAUGUGUCAAGCUCGGAUUGCCUUAGACAGGUGCAAUUUAAGAACAGCUUUCAUCCUCUUUUCUCUCAUAUUGUCACACUAUGUGUUCUGACUUCUGGCUCCUUUCCUCACAAGAAGCUCACCCAGCUGGAACUCUUAUGGGACCUUGGCACCAGAGACCACAAAUUCCUCUUUGAAGUUUUCUAACAGCAACAAUGGUAUUUCUGACUUGGCUUUCUUGUAUUUCUCUCACGUUAACAAAAUUGGUUCAGCAUCUACCAUGGGCUACAUGCUGAGCUACAGAGUUUCGCUCUGUCGCCCAGGCUGGAGUGCAGUGGCGCGCGAUCUCGGUUCACUGCAAGCUCCACCUCCCGGGUUCACGCCAUUCUCCUGCCUCAGCCUCCUGAGUAGCUGGGACUACAGGCGCCCGCCACCACACCCAGGAAUCCAACUUGCUGUUUGCUAUCACAUGUGCUAUACAUGCUGUUGAUGAAACUGCUAAAGGGGCUGAAUGUGACUGACGUCUUUGGAAGGAUGAGACUUAGCGUGCCUGUACAGUUGUGUCCAAAUGCUGUCCUCAUCUCCCAAUGAAAAGGAACAAAACCCAUCAGAAGAUGUCAGAAGAUAAGGAUUUUUGUCCUGAUGCUACACUUACCAGCUGUCCCUCAGUGUUCUACUUCUUAAAAAAAGAGAGAUGGAUAAACAGAGGCAACCCGAGGAUAAAGGCCUUGCUCAGUGUCACACAUUUCAGUCACUAAAUAAGACACAAUGGAUGCCAGUAUUCUCAUCCCCUCACAAAUAAAGAGCCUUCAAGCUCUUGCAGUCAACAAGAACUUUUGGAAUGAUUUCACUGCCUGAAAAGGCAGAUAC
rnacentral:lncRNA from 10 species